rnacentral:lncRNA from 1 species
GUCACAAUUACUGUACAGAGUUUGCUCCCAAUGAAAAGAUCUGCUCAAAAAUAUAUCAGGGCAUGUGUUUAAUACAUUACAGAGAACCUAAUUCUUUUGUUAUUUCAUCAGUACUGCAGAGAUAGCUGCUUUAUUUUGUCUGCACUUGAUGCAGGGACUUCAACCUCAUUCCUCCUGCAUCUGGCAUGAAAUCAGUCUUUGAGCCUUCGACAUUGCAGAAGUUAACCGUGCCAGAAUGGAUACAUCAAGUCUUCCGAUUCUUAACAAAGCCUUGGAUAUCUGAUACAGAGAUGCAUUGCUUCACACAGGCAACCAGUGCAACAUGACGGACAUAAUGCAAAGAAUUUCCCUUUCCAAGCCACAUGUAGACCAGGGGAUGUAUAGAACAUUGUACAUGGUCGACUACAAGCCCUAUGCGGAACAUCAUCAGUGGCGUCCCAUGAUGGACCCUUCACAGAGACUAAAACUGGAAGCCCAGCUGAAGGAGAAGGAGCUUGCAAGGCCUGUUCAGAAGAAACCGGUGAAAUAUGUUGAGGAGCCUGGCUGUCAAGAAGUUCAGCCACCUUAUCCUGUAGGAAUGGUUGGGAGGGCCUCAAAAGGCCUAGAAGCUCCACCGCCAAACCAACAAGCCCAAGAAGAACAAUGGAACCACUCCCUUCCUCUUGCUGAUCCAACUGCAAUUCAAGAAAAGGAAGCUGAGAGAUUAGCUCAGCUGGCAGAUGCUAUUGCUCUGACAGGUAACACAGAUGUGCCAUGCAUCAAGCAAGAACAGGGCCAGAACUGGAACAGUUAUCAGCAAUUCCUCUUGGAAAACCGGCGAGCUAAUCAAGUACAAGUUCAAGAAAUUAAGAGGCUGAAUCUGGAAACGUCUGUAUUUCCAAGAGAUUUCAUCAGGAGUACUGAUGCAAGUACUUACCAAAGGGAUUACAAAUGCUGGCCCAGAAUCCGGGGUGGAUUUUGCCGAGCGAAUCGGAAUUUCUCGAAUCUCCUCUUAGAAGAUGGCUACUACAAAAACAAUCCCUGGUCAUCAGAAUACAUGGACAACUAUAACAUUUUCUUGAGGAAGUUGCACUGGACCGCUCGCAAUCCUGUCUCAUCUUUUUGCUCAGCUGUACAGCCCAUCCCCCAUCUCUCCCAUGGAAUGCCCUCGCAGACGCCUAUAGCCGUGAACACAGCACCUUAAAAAUAUGCAGCCAUUUUUGAUUAUGUUCUGCAAGCAAAAUAGGAUUUCAGUCAUGGAAAUAUUGAUAUGAUGCCAUGGAAGCCUGAACACUGCACACGACAGACUAUUGUUUAUAUUAAGCUUAUUUAUACUUGUGUAUGUACCAUAGCUAGAUUUUGAGUACUGUAUAUCUAUUUUCUAGAGCUAAAGCAGAGCCCUGGUUUGAAAUGUAUGUGGAAAUUGACACAUGUAUCUUAGAAUAAUCCAAAUAUAGAAUUAUUCAAGUUGUUCUACCUUUUAAAUAAAAAUAUGCUAAUUAAAAACA